rnacentral:rRNA from 1 species
GUGGGGAAUAUUGGGCAAUGGGCGAAAGCCUGAUCCAGCCAUGCCGCGUGUGUGAAGAAGGUCUUCGGAUUGUAAAGCACUUUAAGUUGGGAGGAAGGGCAGUAAGUUAAUACCUUGCUGUUUUGACGUUACCGACAGAAUAAGCACCGGCUAACUUCGUGCCAGCAGCCGCGGUAAUACGAAGGGUGCAAGCGUUAAUCGGAAUUACUGGGCGUAAAGCGCGCGUAGGUGGUUUUGUAAGUUGGAGGUGAAAUCCCCGGGCUCAACCUGGGAACUGCCUCCAAAACUGCAUGACUAGAGUACGGUAGAGGGUAGUGGAAUUUCCUGUGUAGCGGUGAAAUGCGUAGAUAUAGGAAGGAACACCAGUGGCGAAGGCGACUACCUGGACUGAUACUGACACUGAGGUGCGAAAGCGUGGGGAGCAAACAGGAUUAGAAACCCGUGUAGUCC